UGAGAUCAUAUUUCUCCUCUCUUGUAGAGAAGUAUUGGAUCUCUGUUCUCUGUAGGCGGCAUUAUGAAUUAUCCUUACAUUAGAUACAUAAGGCAUCAAACAGUCUGCCUUUACAAAGAAUGCCACUCUUAACCUUUGCAAAAAUAAUAAGCUGUACACACAUGCUCUAGUGUGAAUGCUGUCAUUAAAGAAAUGAAAAAUGCUCCAUCUCAACUGAAAAAAAUGAAUUGAUAAAUUACCGGAGUGUUGCUGCUCUGCAGGUUUUGAGACCAAAUUUCAACAAUGGCCUCCUCCAUCGUACAAAGAGCUUCCCCAAAGAUGAGCUGCAGCUUCUCUGCUUGCUUGUCAAAGUGGAAAAGGACGAGCGCCUUGAGCAGCGCCUGCACCUCCUCUGCAACGGAGGAGGACAACAAUCAGCUUGGCAUCGCUGAUGGAGCCUUCAGACAAAGAGCAGGGUAUAGUGACGAGCGUUCACCUCGCAUCUUGUCCACUGUGGUGAUGAUCUCUCCGAGUGCGAACAUCAGAGCUCUGUCCUCCAUCGGACUUCCUUCUUUCAGACUCAGCUUCUUCCUCUCAGCCUUGCGCCGGUUCUUUGACGACCUCCUGCGUCAUACAAGGUCACGUUCAAGAACUUUCAUCAGCAGUUUUGGCACUAAAUCAUUACAUAUGUACAUCAUUACCACUUUAAAAUACUCCUUUGCCUUAUCACUGCAAGAUGUAAAUGAUAGCAUUGUGCUUUACAAAGAAAAUCUAUAACCACGUGACAUUGCUCUCUCCUCCAAUUGGUCAGGCACACCGAUGCAAACAGGAAAAGGUAGGAGUGAAGCAACACAAAUAUUAUAUAUCUAUAUUACUCUAUAUAUUAAUUUUCAGACAUUAACACGUUAGCCAGCUAACCGACAAGAGCACGUUAAAAGGACAUCGCGAACAACAUUUAUCCACCAAGCGAACGCGACUUCGACUGAGCAUGUUAGCUAGCAAGACAGCGGUCAACCGGAAGUUUUUUCCCCUCAGCGUGGGAAUGACAUUUUGCGCUCUUAACGUGAACUCGUAUGUUUUAUUCAAAUCAUACGGACUCGUGCCAACAUAUUCAUACAUUUCAAAGUUAUAGUUAAUUAGCGUACUGCUGCGAGCCUCUUUCCGUUUACAUUCUUGCGCCUUGUCGCUGACCAAUAGGAGAAGAGAGCGAUAUCACGUGGCUUGCGUGAUGCAUUUUGGUACGCCGGGAUUUUUUUUUAACCGUUUCAACAAGCGAGUUAACCCUUUUUUUACUCAAUAUCUCACUUAAAGAUAUGAUUUUUUUUUAUCAAUGAAUGUAAGAAGUAUGUUUUCUUACGAGGAGAUGCGUGAGUUACUGUGGGAGUACUUGGAGGAUGUCAUCACACUGCUCGCCUCAGAGUAAAGCUCAGCGUCCGCACAGUCUGGACCAUCCUCAUCUUUAAGGCAAGAGAGGAUAUUUGGAUGUUACCAUGGCAACUACACAUCUAGUUAUAGACUUGGCAUUUUUUUUUCCCCCUCACCAAGCAAGCUCAGCCUGGCCUUCUCUUUUUGCUCCCGCACCAACGCCAGUCGGGUCCUGUGUCGCAUGAAGGUGGCUACCUGUGUCUCCACAAAGAGCAUCUGAGUGCUGGCCGCUGACACACAGAAAAAAAAGAAAAGUUAGUUUCUGUGACAAUGGAGGAGAAUCCAAAAAGGUUCAUUUCACCAACCAAUCGGAGCGCCUCCUCCCAGGCCGCGCCAGUGAUCAGAGCCAAGAUGGCCUCCUCGCAGUCCUAGGUCGCCAUGAGAACCACGGUUAAUAACGGCACUCUGAUUCAGCACAAGAGCUCAAAAGGGGAAGAAGAUUGCUGGAGGUCAAAGAAAGAUCCUAAGAUGGAGAUCUUUGGUGCCAUUUGUAAUUGUUUGGCCCUUGUUUGCCUUGUCAAUCAAUGUCAUAAUAGUUGUUCUUACUUUGGCGUACUGGUCCAGUAGCAUUGCCGCCUCCACAGGGCGCCGCUGUUCAGUCAGCUUCCCUUUAAAAUGAGGAACGAUAUAAGUUUUUAAAAAAUUAAAUAAAUAAAUAAACACUACCUGUUGCCUUGGUUACCUGCCAGGUCUCUGGCCAGCAGAGCCAACUGGUCUGGAGGCAGCGGGAUCUGCUGGGCCACACAGAUGGCGUUCCUCCAGCUGCCGCAGCU